rnacentral:rRNA from 1 species
GACGAACGCUGACGGCGUGCUUAAUACAUGCAAGUCGAAGGGAGUGGCGAACGGGUGAGUAACACGUGAGUAACCUGUCCUCUUCUUUGGGAUAAGCCUGGGAAACUGGGUCUAAUACUGGAUGGAUUGGGAUGGGCUCGCGGCUUAUCAGCGUGUUGGUGGGGUGAUGGUUUACCAAGGCUGUGCCGGGUAGCCGGCCUGAGAGGGGGGACGGUCACACUGGGACGGAGAGACGGCCAAGGCUGCUACGGGUAGCAGAAGUGGGGGAUAUUGCACAAUGGACGAAAGGCUGAUGCAGCGACGUCGAGUGGGGGAUUAAGGCCUUCGGGUUGUGAUGUCCUUUCGCCCGCGGGAUGGUAGUUAGUAAGAAAGCGACGGCUAACUACGUGCCAGCAGCCGCGGUAAUUC